rnacentral:rRNA from 1 species
GGAUUUUUGUCGUAGCUUGCUAUGAUAAAAAUUAGUGGCAGACGGGUGAGUAAUGCAUAGGAAUCUACCUAGUAGUAUGGGAUAGCCACUAGAAAUGGUGGGUAAUACUGUAUAAUCCCUGCGGGGGAAAGAUUUAUCGCUAUUAGAUGAGCCUAUGUUAGAUUAGCUAGUUGGUAGGGUAAAGGCCUACCAAGGCGGUGAUCUAUAGCUGGUCUGAGAGGAUGAUCAGCCACACUGGAACUGAGAUACGGUCCAGACUCCUACGGGAGGCAGCAGUGGGGAAUAUUGGACAAUGGGCGCAAGCCUGAUCCAGCUAUGCCGCGUGAGUGAGGAAGGCCUUAGGGUUGUAAAACUCUUUCAGUGGGGAAGAUAAUGACGGUACCCACAGAAGAAGUCCCGGCAAACUCC